rnacentral:rRNA from 1 species
CUUAGAAGCAGCCAUCAUUUAAAGAAAGCGUAAUAGCUCACUGGUCGAGUCGGCCUGCGCGGAAGAUGUAACGGGGCUAAACCAUGCACCGAAGCUGCGGCAGCGACGCUGAUGCGUUGUUGGGUAGGGGAGCGUUCUGUAAGCCUGCGAAGGUGGCCUGUGAGGGUUGCUGGAGGUAUCAGAAGUGCGAAUGCUGACAUAAGUAACGAUAAAGCGGGUGAAAAGCCCGCUCGCCGGAAGACCAAGGGUUCCUGUCCAACGUUAAUCGGGGCAGGGUGAGUCGACCCCUAAGGCGAGGCCGAAAGGCGUAGUCGAUGGGAAACGGGUUAAUAUUCCCGUACUUGGUGUUACUGCGAAGGGGGGACGGAGAAGGCUAUGUUGGCCGGGCGACGGUUGUCCCGGUUUAAGCGUGUAGGUGUGUGUUCCAGGUAAAUCCGGUUCACUUUAACACUGAGGCGUGAUGACGAGGCACUACGGUGCUGAAGCAACAAAUGCCCUGCUUCCAGGAAAAGCCUCUAAGCAUCAGGUAACAUCAAAUCGUACCCCAAACCGACACAGGUGGUCAGGUAGAGAAUACCAAGGCGCUUGAGAGAACUCGGGUGAAGGAACUAGGCAAAAUGGUGCCGUAACUUCGGGAGAAGGCACGCUGACACGUAGGUGAAGUGAUUUACUCAUGGAGCUGAAGUCAGUCGAAGAUACCAGCUGGCUGCAACUGUUUAUUAAAAACACAGCACUGUGCAAACACGAAAGUGGACGUAUACGGUGUGACGCCUGCCCGGUGCCGGAAGGUUAAUUGAUGGGGUCAGCGCAAGCGAAGCUCCUGAUCGAAGCCCCGGUAAACGGCGGCCGUAACUAUAACGGUCCUAAGGUAGCGAAAUUCCUUGUCGGGUAAGUUCCGACCUGCACGAAUGGCGUAAUGAUGGCCAGGCUGUCUCCACCCGAGACUCAGUGAAAUUGAACUCGCUGUGAAGAUGCAGUGUACCCGCGGCAAGACGGAAAGACCCCGUGAACCUUUACUAUAGCUUGACACUGAACAUUGAGCCUUGAUGUGUAGGAUAGGUGGGAGGCUUUGAAGUGUGGACGCCAGUCUGCAUGGAGCCGGCCUUGAAAUACCACCCUUUAAUGUUUGAUGUUCUAACGUGGACCCGUGAUCCGGGUUGCGGACAGUGUCUGGUGGGUAGUUUGACUGGGGCGGUCUCCUCCUAAAGAGUAACGGAGGAGCACGAAGGUUGGCUAAUCCUGGUCGGACAUCAGGAGGUUAGUGCAAUGGCAUAAGCCAGCUUGACUGCGAGCGUGACGGCGCGAGCAGGUGCGAAAGCAGGUCAUAGUGAUCCGGUGGUUCUGAAUGGAAGGGCCAUCGCUCAACGGAUAAAAGGUACUCCGGGGAUAACAGGCUGAUACCGCCCAAGAGUUCAUAUCGACGGCGGUGUUUGGCACCUCGAUGUCGGCUCAUCACAUCCUGGGGCUGAAGUAGGUCCCAAGGGUAUGGCUGUUCGCCAUUUAAAGUGGUACGCGAGCUGGGUUUAGAACGUCGUGAGACAGUUCGGUCCCUAUCUGCCGUGGGCGCUGGAGAACUGAGGGGGGCUGCUCCUAGUACGAGAGGACCGGAGUGGACGCAUCACUGGUGUUCGGGUUGUCAUGCCAAUGGCACUGCCCGGUAGCUAAAUGCGGAAGAGAUAAGUGCUGAAAGCAUCUAAGCACGAAACUUGCCCCGAGAUGAGUUCUCCCUGAGACUUAGAGUCUCCUGAAGGAACGUUGAAGACGACGACGUUGAUAGGCCGGGUGUGUAAGCGCAGCGAUGCGUUGAGCUAACCGGUACUAAUGAACCGUGAGGCUUAACCUUACAACGCCGAAG